rnacentral:rRNA from 1 species
GAUGAACGCUGGCGGCGUGCCUAAUACAUGCAAGUCGAACGGAGUUUAUUUUCCUUCGGGAGAAUAAACUUAGUGGCGAACGGGUGAGUAACACGUGGGCAACCUGCCCCUCAGAUUGGGAUAACUUCGGGAAACUGAAGCUAAUACCGAAUAAUCUUUUUUCCCGCAUGGGAGAAUAGUAAAAGGUUUCGAUCACUGAGGGAUGGGCCCGCGUCGCAUUAGCUAGUUGGUGGGGUAAAGGCCUACCAAGGCGACGAUGCGUAGCCGAUCUGAGAGG